GCCGGGGGUGGUGGCGUACGCCUGUAGUCCAAGCUACUCAGAGGCUGAGGCAGGAGGAUCACUUGAGCCCAGGAGGUCAAGGCUGCAGUGAACCAUGAUCACGCCACUGCACUCCAGCCUGGGCAACAGAGCAACACCCUGUCUCAA
ensembl:misc_RNA Metazoa_SRP Metazoan signal recognition particle RNA